rnacentral:rRNA from 1 species
GAUGAACGCUAGCGGGAGGCCUAACACAUGCAAGCCGAGCGGUAUUGUUUCUUCGGAAAUGCGAGAGCGGCGUACGGGUGCGUAACACGUGUGCAACCUGCCUUUAUCUGGGGGAUAGCCUUUCGAAAGGAAGAUUAAUACUCCAUAAUAUAUUGAACGGCAUCGUUUAAUAUUGAAGGCUCCGGCGGAUAGAGAUGGGCACGCGCAAGAUUAGCUAGUUGGUGAGGUAACGGCUCACCAAGGCGAUGAUCUUUAGGGGGCCUGAGAGGGUGAUCCCCCACACUGGUACUGAGACACGGACCAGACUCCUACGGGAGGCAGCAGUGAGGAAUAUUGGUCAAUGGGUGCAAGCCUGAACCAGCCAUCCCGCGUGAAGGACGACUGCCCUAUGGGUUGUAAACUUCUUUUGUAUAGGGAUAAACCUACCCUCGAGAGGGUAGCUGAAGGUACUAUACGAAUAAGCACCGGCUAACUCCGUG